GAUGAACGCUGGCGGCGUGCCUAAUACAUGCAAGUCGAGCGAACAGACGAGGAGCUUGCUCCUCUGACGUUAGCGGCGGACGGGUGAGUAACACGUGGAUAACCUACCUAUAAGACUGGGAUAACUUCGGGAAACCGGAGCUAAUACCGGAUAAUAUAUUGAUCCGCAUGGUUCAAUAGUGAAAGACGGUUUUGCUGUCACUUAUAGAUGGAUCCGCGCCGCAUUAGCUAGUUGGUAAGGUAACGGCUUACCAAGGCAACGAUGCGUAGCCGACCUGAGAGGGUGAUCGGCCACACUGGAACUGAGACACGGACCAGACUCCUACGGGAGGCAGCAGUAGGGAAUCUUCCGCAAUGGGCGAAAGCCUGACGGAGCAACGCCGCGUGAGUGAUGAAGGUCUUCGGAUCGUAAAACUCUGUUAUUAGGGAAGAACAAAUGUGUAAGUAACUAUGCACGUCUUGACGGUACCUAAUCAGAAAGCCACGGCUAACUACGUG
rnacentral:rRNA from 1 species